GCCGGGUUCAAUCCUAAAGGCCUGGGUAAACUAAGAAACAUUGUUGCGGAAACAUUUGUGAUUCUCGAUGUUUCCACAAAUGUUUCCCUGUUUGCCCACGCGUGGAAACAUUGUUGCGGAAACAAAAUUUGCUUCCCGAGAAGCAAAAAUGUUUCCUAGCAAAUUCAGAAACAUUUGAUGUUUCCUAGAGUUUGCCCACUCUGGGAAACAUGGCAAAACAUUGGCAGGAAACAAUGUUUCCUAGUUUGCCCAGGGCUUUAAUUGGUCGUACCUCUACUCAGAGUCUUAAAAUAAUUG